rnacentral:lncRNA from 1 species
CGGUGACCGGGGGUGACGCUGACACCCGUUUCCCCGUCUCUCUCGCGUCCACAAACGCGUGAUGCAGAAAUUGACUCGUUUGAAUUCAUACUUCAUGAAGUUUCUUUGAGCCACAAGGUAAUGUUUCCGGGGAACGACUUCGGUAGCAGACGGUUAAAGGCUUUCACAGUUUUUUUAUGAAAAGAAAGGGAAAACGGUCAAAGCAUGGACAUCUGGGACAUGGAUAUCUGCGGUCAGU